ACUCUAGGAGGUUGUACAUAAUAAAUACUCGCCCAAUCAGAAUUAAUACUAGUAUCUAGAAUUCUAUAUAUCAAAUGAAGUACUGCUGGUUCUUUAAUAUUGCAGCUGCAAGUUCCACACCUUGUAACUAGGUAGCUUGACAAUCACAUAAUUCACAAGGGAAUGGGAAGAGGCAGAACUUGAGGAUGAUAUAGCAUUUGGAGGGCUGGAAAGGGUGGACAACCAUUUGAGUGAAACUGGGACUAGCAGGCUUAAGUUUUGUUCUUUCCCCAAACCAAUAUUCUUUUACUCAAAAUGAAGUGGGGAAGUAUGAAGCAUAUAUAACCUCCAUCCAGACUGUGAUUGACUAUUAGGUAUCCAUUAGGGUGUUGCACCAAGAGGUAAACCAUGCUUAGUUUUGACCACCCCAGUGAGCUAGUUGAUGAAAUUGAUCACUUCUGAAAUUUAUAUCUACCAGCAAAAUUGCAUGUUAAUGUGAAUCAGAACCAAGUUGGAAAUUGGGAUAUGGUGUCGGCUGUGAGGAGCAAUAAUGUUUAUUGUUGUUGGUGCUUGAAAACAACAAGCAUAGUGAAUGAGAAGAGAAUCUGGAAAAGCAAAGAUUACAGAAUGACUUCGCUUUUCUGUUACUGAUGUGUUUGGGGGAUUCAGGGAAACCAAAACCUGCUAUAUCAUCAGUUGGAUAGUAGCUGAAUUUUAAAACAUAGAGAGGGAGAUGUCAGGGGGAUAAACAGAUGAAGUGAUGAUAUAUGAAGCACCAACAACAUAAAAGCUGGGAUGAUGUAAUAUGUAUGGCAUGAAUUCUUGGUAUAGAGCUGUGGUUUGUUGGGAUAGAACAAGUUUAUUAUUUUUAAAUCAAUAAAAAUGAAUUGUAG